CGUUACGCUGCUGCAGUAGUAGCGACGCGCCGCUCCUCCUCUCAGUUUCUAUCCGGGGCGUCGCGCGCGCGAUCCUUCCUUCCUUCCCUUUCGUACAUGCGCGACCAUACGAUGGAGAAUGGUCACCUUUUCAACUUAAAGACAACGUUCCAUUUCUCUGCAACUCGAAAGAAUUAAAUCGACGAAGGAAUUCCCAGACGGAAGAAUGUCAAGAAAUAAAAAGUGUUCAACAGGAGAUAAAAAGACAAGAUAUUGGAAAUUUCUUCGUUAACCUCGUUUCCAUCUUUUCUUUCGUUUUUCUUCUCUUUUUCUUUUUUUCUUCAUUUUCCAUCUUUCUUUUUAAAUUACCAUUUACUAUUAGUCAGAUGUUCUCUCAUAUCGAGAUAUCGAGAAUUUCUUUAAAGCGUGUCCACGUGUAAGUUAACGAAUGGAAUAGUAUAACGUACUAUAGUAACGCAUCAAUCAUAGGAUGUUCUGCAGGUGAAAGCAUCCCCUGACCACACUACGUCGUCCUUUCCUGACGUCUCUCUCGUCAUCGUGAACGUAUUUGUCGAUCCCUUUGCGUGCGAGCGGUAUUUUGUUUGCACAAAGAAAUGGAAAGUGAUCAGUACUACUAGCAAAUGCCAAGAUUCGGAACUUUGUCGAAUGCCAAACCCAGCAAGUUUGGUCCGAACGAUAUCCGAACCGUCAAACCGCGUUUGUUCGAUCGAGUGUAAAUCUUUAAAGAGAUCCGAUUGAUUGGAUCAAACUGACGAUAUGUUGAACAAAGCAAUACUGUGACUUUGUUUCUCUUUGAAUGGAAUAUGUAUAUAUAUGUGUGUGUGUGUGUGUGUCGCGAAAAUAAGAUCAAGUUUAAAUUAUUAUUUGUAAAUCGUCGUUUGAUAUUAUUCAAAGUUUUGUGCAUUAAAAGUUUGUCGGUAGAUAAUGAAAAAUAUUAUUAGAAAUUAUAUAAUAUUUAUAGAUUAUAUCGCGAUUCUUUUCGUAUCGGUCAAAAUUGUUGACCGAGCAUAAAAACAUUUUAUUUUUCCUCUUAUAAUUAUUUUAUAUCCUACCUUCUUUUAUUUUACACAGCUGCGUAGAAACGUAAUUGCUUUAGAUGCACUCAUCUGCAC